GAUAGCUCAGAUGGUAGAGCUUGAGAGUCUUAAUCUCAGGGUUGUGGAUUUGAGUCCCAUGUUGAGCA
rnacentral:tRNA from 1 species